GACAGAGGGGCCCCACACAUUGAUGAGCCAGUUGAACUGAGUGUCUCAGUGUCUGCAUGAUGAUCCGUCCACAGGAAGYAGAUGAGGACAUUCAUCACCAGGAAGCUGAAGUCAGAGGUGAAGCUGUUGAAAAACCAAAGAGGAACUCAAAGCUUCCAUCAGAGACAGUGGUCCUGCUGGUUCUCUGUGUUCUGCUGGCUGCUGCUCUCAUCAUUAUCAUCAGACUCUGUGAGUUUAAGAACA